CUUUAUGAACCCGCUGCCCAUCCUCUUUCCUAAUUUCUGUGGAAGGAAGGUAAGUGGGGUACUGUGGGCUGAUGGGAGAGUGCUGGGAGUAUGGAUUCAGUGGGCACAAAAAGAGCCAUCACUGUGUGUGGCUCGCCCUUUGGACUUAAACAUCUAGAAAUCCACCUGAGAACAGAGGCAUCAUUUCCUGACUACAAAUGAUUGAUUCUAGGAACCCUUUGUUACGUGAGUGCUUAGAUAUCCAAUUUUAUAGUUAUUACACAAUUACACAUGCACACACCUACGGAAAGAUAAUCUAUUACUUGAUGAAAAAAUAAUCUUAGUUAUACCAAAGAGGUAUCAUAUAACUUGUGCUUAUUACCUUAAGCUGAUAAAUAUCCUUCCAAUUUAUGAAUAAGUUUGAUCACACAAUAAUUUGCUGCAGUUAACUCUCUUAGAAGUCACCAAAAGAAUCUUUAAAGUCUUACUGAACAGAUAAAACAACUUUACUCUUCAUAAGUCAAACAAAGACCUUUUUCUGGAGCUGGGACGGAAAUUCAAGUCUGCUACUUGAUUGUCUCCUAUCAUCAAAUAAUGUAGGGACAAAUUAAGAAACACACGGAAGCACAUGAACAAAGAGAGCAGGCAUACUGGGAAGUUAGUUAUUUAUUUACUUUGUAAUUACAAACACUUAUAUAGCAGUUAUGAAGUGUCAGGCAUGGUUCCAUUUAAAAUAUUGACUCUUGAAUAGUUUAAUAGUUCAAAUGCGGCAGAAACAAUAGAUAUCUGUAGGAUCUGACACAAAAAAGAGCAUCACUAGCAUGUCUGAACAUGGAAUUACUGUGAGCAGUGGGUCAACCUGUAGCUCUGCAUUCUGUCCAGACAUUCUUACAGCACGUUCCCAGUGGAUCACUUCUCACCGAUACAGUCUGUGCGCUCACCACUUCUCAAGGUGCUAAGCAUUGCAACCCUACUUUCCUGUUCUGAUCAAGGUUUUCCUUUUCUCUGCACCUUCUAACAGUUCUUUAACAUCCUAACCAUGACUCAAAAUCCAAUUCUAUAAAUGCCUCCUUUAAAAGAAUUUCAGAGAACCUUGCAAAGUCGAUAUGUCCACAUGCAUCAUUCCACUUCUAGUAAACCUCUUUUAGCAUUCGUUUGGUAGCAGAAUCAUCUAUAGCUAUGUCUUACUUUUGUCCUGGAUCGCAGAGUUUUGGAGAGCAGGAACUACUUUGGAAAGAUACAAGCAAAAUGGAGGAAUUUUGAGAUUCUGUGGGCCCAGGCAUACCUCUUCCAGAAAAGGCCUAUGUAGGGUUUGAGCCAUGUGACUUACUUGCCUAAGGUCAUAUGUCUAGUUUGUGGCACAGGUAGGCCUAUCACAAAGUCUCUUGACUCUCAGUCCUGUGUUCUUGACCCCACAGAGCUCAACACAAUUUUGACCUGAUUGUCCUUCUAUGAUAAGGAUGGCCUUCCAGUAAGCCAAUGAGUAGAUACUGGGCACUCAAAUAUGCCUAGCGUAGCAAACAUAGGACUAAGGAAGAAAUAAGGGAAAACUAAAAAGAACCUAUAAUGUACUUAUUAAUAGGCCACCAAAUAGAAGUUUUUAGCCUUCAUCCUUAUAAUAAAGUACCAUUUUGAAGAAAUAUCCUAGUACUUUUCCUCAUUUAUGAACUGUAGAUGAUACAGGCUGUCACUAGAUCUGAACAAAACACAUGUGUUCACUUUAGUAUCAUAAAUCUCAUCUUCACUGUGCUAUAUUUUGCUUAUGACUCGUUUACGAGUUGUGCAUCUAUGUUCAUGAAGGAGAUUGUGGUUUUUCUUGAAAUGUGAGGUUCCUGGUCUCGUUAACAGCAAUGCCACAUCCUCCACUGCAGUCUCCGAGUUUGCCCAUUUCUUUGGUUCCAGCCUUCUCUGCUAGGAAGCACAAUGCUGAUGUCUGCAUUGGAACGUGCGGUAUAUUCCAGCAAGGUGGAGGCAAUGAAAGAGCAUGAGAGAAAUCCACCAGUGCUUCAGAUAAAGAAAUGAAAAUUCUUGGGGAAAUGCAAAUGGACACAAAAGCCAUUAAAGAGAGUUGAGUUCCUGAAGGCAAGGUUGUUUUCACAUUCAAAAGAAUUAACCAUUAUUACAGAUCAUGUUAACAGAAUGAAUGAGAAAAUCCAAUGAUCAUCGCAGCCUUGAAGAAACAGUUGGUGCAAUUCAAUAUUUUAGACGACUUAUUUUCCCACUGCAUCAUAUUCUUGACAAUCUUAAUUUAGCUUUCUUAUAUUUCACCAACUUUAAAGCUAACCCUGUUCGGUACUUGUUCUAGACCUCCGUGUCCAUUUCUUGUGAAGACCUUAGGCAUCUUUUUGAAGACGCCCCACCAUAGAUUUCCUGAAGAUUCUCUGGGUGAGUACAGAAGUCACUAUCUUCUAGGGAAGAGUGUAAGGAAAUGGGGCCUCAAUCAGGCAUUCCCAGGGAGGCCAGCUGUUGGACAGUCUCUGUGGCGCAGCCUGGGACCUCACGGUACUGCUGAGGAAAGCAGAAACGAAAGGAACACCACUCGGGUGGCCGGCAGCUACUCAGAGCAAGGGUCUCAGCAGCUGCCUCCUGGGAUCUGCAGACCAGAGGGGGAGCCAUUCCUCCAAAUGGGGACCAAGGGCUGGGAGCCAUGACUGUGAUCAGUGAGUCCCGCUUUCAGGCACUUCCGCACAAGAGUUCUGGGUCUGUUAGGGCCUCCUCACAGCCAGCUGCCCAGGUCAGGGACUGACAUGACUCAGGCCUCACGCGUGUUCCCUGAAUUGGCCUGCCUGCCAGCUCAGAGAGAGGAUGAGGAGCGAAUGUGUUUUAAAAUGAAAAUCAAUCGGAAAGCUCUUCCAGGAAACCUGACCCAACUGGAAUAGUGUCAAUAGUAGAGGGGAACCCCUGGUAUUAAAUAAAGACCGCCCACCCCAAAUUUAGGGAAAUUGGAUUGUUUCCCUGACAUACACGAUGAUUUCUAUCUCUGUCAUAGCAGAAGACAGAAGUACAGGAAUUGCCUGCUGCUCCGAUAUUAAGACGAGUUUCAGAAAGGUUCCCUUUGCUCUUCUAUUCAGUAGAGAAGCGAUAGGAAGGCCAGGAACACACUGACACUUUCUUGCUCUGUUGGGAUUCAUUGGAUUCCGUUACCAUUUAAUCUAGUGAUUCUGCGCUAGUAUUCAAAUGAGAAACUGAAGUUGUCUGUUCAUUCACAAAUAAUUUGAGUCCACAGCGACGAUGAGUUUCUUCUUAAUUCAAGUGGAAAUCCAGUUCAUUCAGGGGACCUGCUCCAUAGGUGUGGCUCUCUGUCUACUUAAUGUUCUCUGGAGACGAAGAACAAAGAGCUUGUGACAGGUUAAAGGUCAGGGGUCUCCUGUCCAGAUACGUUCUGAUGGUGUUUUAUUAAAUGUGGUGAUACCUGUCCCUCCCACGUCCUCGGCACCUGUCGUGCGUUAGGUAACGGCAUUUUUUUCCUGAGGAAAUGGCUCAAUCUAAGAUAUGGUGUUAGGGUUACUCUCUCUGCCUGUUUCAGCCUUUCAACCUCUAAUGCGUGUUGCAUUCUUUCUAAGUUCCUGGAGGCGGGCCCAUUUUCAAACCUUCGUUACUCAUUGCCAUUGAUAUUUACUGUGCAGAAAAAUUUAGGUUCACACAAAAACCUUCACCAGAAGUUCAUAGCAGCUUUACGCAUAGGGGACAAAAUUAUAAAAACCAAAAACUGUCCUUCAGUAGGUAAGUGGUUAAACUCUGGUGGCACUUUGUCUCCUUCUCCCAGGUCCCACCCUACGUGCACAGUGUCCCAUCAUCAGAUCCUGCCGCCACACACUCACCCCCCGGCUCCAUUCCCCAGGAGGAGAAGGCAGGUGCAGGAGAGCAGGGCCCUGUGCUCCUCUGGGCAGAGGGGACAGGCCCGCAGCAGCCUCUGUGCUCCCCAACCGCCCACCCUCAGAGGCUGGAGCUCAGUCGUGGUCGUCGCUGCUGUUCCAGACUGUGACAAGGACAGAGGGAGGGCGACGCUGGGCUGAGGGGGUUGCGCAGGCCCAUCUCCAUGGCAGCUUCAGCAGGGACAGAAGAAGCUCCUGGGGCAGCGUCAUCUAUUCCCACCAAGAGCUCGGGGUGCAGGGCAAGCUUUCCCUCUCCGGACUCAGGGCCAGCACUGCCCCACACUCCCCUCCCCGCCCUGUGACCUGUGAAUCUGUCUCUACACUUCCUGGAGCCUCUGCAAACCCCCUCCCUACAGCCCCAGAAGCUCAAGGGCCAGAGAACGCAGGAGAGGACGGGUGGGGCCCAUCCUGGGCUGGGGUCUAGAGGUUUUGCUCCUCUGGAAAUAUCCUAAAGCUUCCAUUUGUUUUUGUAAGGAUGGCGUGAUGGGUACUUCGCGUGCAAUGAGGGAGUUGGGGUCAGGGCGCGUGAGCCACGCUGCAGUCAGCCUCCCCGCAUGGCCCUGUCCCUUCUGGAAGCCACAGCAGACACUCAGGGAGGGCGGAGCCUGACCCUGCUUCUACCCCUAGCAGGGCAAGACGGAGGCCACCAGGUCUCAGGAGAAAAAACAUGUAUUUGGGGAAAAUUGGGGUUGGAAGUCACCAUCACCACAGAGGGUGAGGUAAGGAGAAAAACUAGAAGUCCUUGGCGAACCCUCAGUCUCUCUCCCAGUGCCCAGACAAAGGAUGAUACUGUCGAUGGCGCCUGAACAGCCCUGCCAUCCGACGCCGAGCUGCGUGUGACCCGUGCCUGGCUCUGGGCGGUGGCUGACGCGGGCUUGCCUUUGCAAGGGGCUCCUCUGGUGCUUCCUCCUUCUUGGGCCUCAGGCAGGGCAGGAAGCGUCUCAACAUUUUUCUGAAAGGGCUGACGUGAAAAACCUCUUCUUUUUCAGGCAGGGCCUGGAGGGGUUUGGUCCCGAGGGCGUCUCCUGUUCCUCCGACCUGGCUCCAAGACUGGGACCCUGACUCGCCCUCCAGUGUUGCCACCCCACGGCAGGGCUCUGGUGACGCCCCACCUCCACUCUCUUUCAGAGGCUCGUUCCUGGCCAUUGCUGACCCUGGACUCAGGUGUAGACGGCCUUGCUUGGCCCCCACGACCGUCCCGCUCUGCCCAUUUCUGUCCGAGAGGCUGAAUGCGAAGCUCGGAGAAGGCGGCCGGCCCUGCUGUCCCAUCAGAGAGGCCUCAGAGGGCCCACAGCCAUUGCCAGGACACAAUUGGAAUCAUUGUUAUAUCACCAAAGCUUUGACUGGAAUAUAAUAUUUGAGAUAAAUAUCCAGAUUCAGAUAUGACAAGACAGUUUUUGAGGAAUAGAUGUUGUCUUUAUGGAAUAAAGCCACUUGGAAAUAUCAGCCUGAUACCUUCUUUAUGAUUCCCAUCAACCUUACUAGGAAUCAUUGAGAACUGAACUGCCCUUUUCCCUGAAAACUUGCAAACUGAAACUGGACAACCUAAUAUAAACUUAAGAAAGAUCCAUGCCUGUUGCUUGUGAGCCACUCAGAAAGAUACCUGAACAUGUAUGACAUCAUUGGACACAUUUCAAACUGUGAAAGAUGCUUCAACUCUGACAUCUACAAAUCCUUUGACAGGCUGCUCCCUGGGCUCAGGAACUGGUCUAUAAUUUGCUCCAACCAUCAACCUUGCUUUUCUUUUUGUUUCUCCAGAAAUGUGU
rnacentral:lncRNA from 1 species